CGGAUUGUGGGCUGCAACCCGCCCACAUGAAGUCGGAGUUGCUAGUAAUCGCGGAUCAGCAUGCCGCGGUGAAUACGUUCCCGGGCCUUGUACACACCGCCCGUCACACCAUGGGAGUUGGGAGUGCCCAAAGCCGGUGAGGCAACCGAAAGGAGCCAGCCGUCUAAGGCAAGACCCAAUGACUGGGGUGAAGUCGUAACAAGGUAGC
rnacentral:rRNA from 1 species